rnacentral:lncRNA from 1 species
AAAGAAAAAGUGAAAGAAAAAGCAGAAGAAAAAAUAGGAGCAUAUGCAGGAGCAUAAACACAAAAAAAAUAGACGAAAUAGACGAAAUAGACGAAAUUGACGAAAUUGACGAAAUUGACGAAAUUGACGAAAUUGACGAAAUAAACGAAAUUGACGAAAUAAACGAAAUUGACGAAAUAAACGAAAUUGACGAAAUAGGUAACCUCGAAACAAACGAAGAUUCACAAAUGUACACAAACGUAAAAAAUAAUUAUAUAGAUAAAAAUACAGCAAAAGAUAAACAUAAAACAUUAGAUAGAAAACUAACAAAACAUAUAAAUGAAUUUACAUUUUUUAAGCACUUCAGUUAUAAUAAUGAGAAGAGUGGCAAGUUUAGUGACACAAUAAGUAAUAGCGACGUGGGAAGUAACCACAUGGACAAUAACAAUAUUGACAGUGAAAAUGAAAUCAACAGUAAUAUUACUCGUAACGUUAAACAUACUACUAAUAAAAAGUAUGUAAGUUCUACAAAAAAAACAAAUUCGAAAUUGCGUUCACAAGAAAAAUCUUUAAAUGAAAAGUGUUCACAUGGAAGUGUUGAUAUGCACUUAAACAGUCGUGACAUGUUAGAUAAAGAUAUACUUAAUAAUAAAAAAGUAUUUAGUAAAACCAAAUCAAAAAGAAAAAGUAAAAAAAUAAAUAAAUAUAAUAAACAAAAAAAAUGUUAUGAUAAUUUUAAUAAUCGUCUAAAUUCAAGCAUAUCAACUAAUAGCAGCUUAGAAGAUAAAAUGGACAAUAAUUUGAAAAAAAUAAAUAACAAUACGAUAAAUAACAAUACGAUAAAUAACAAUACGAUAAAUAACAGUACGAUAAAUAACAGUACGAUAAAUAAUGAUACGAUAGAUGAUCAAUUAAAUUUAAUCAGUCUUAACGAAACAAAAUCAACAACACAAAACAUAAAUAAUAAUAAAAUAAAAAAACAAAUAUUAUCAUACACAAAUAAUAAAGAAAUAAUUGAACCUGUUUUUUCUACUAUUCCUAAAAAUAAUGUAACAAAUUUUUUAACUUUACAUUCAAAUAACACCUAUAAUGUACAUACUGAUGGAUCAACAAAUGCAAGUCCAAUUAAUGCAAGUCCA